rnacentral:rRNA from 1 species
CCUACGGGCGGCAGCAGUGGGGAAUAUUGGACAAUGGGGGGAACCCUGAUCCAGCGACGCCGCGUGAGUGAAGAAGGAUUUCGGUAUGUAAAGCUCUAUCAGCAGGGAAGAAAAUGACGGUACCUGACUAAGAAGCCCCGGCUAACGACGGGCCAGCAGCCGCGGUAAGACGGAGGGGGCAAGCGUUAUCCGGAUUUCCUGGGGGUAAAGGGAGCGUAGAAGGUUCAGCAAGGCUGCUGUGAAAGGUCGGGGCCCAACCCCGGGACUGCAUUGGAAACUUUUGAACUGGAGUACAGGAGAGGUAAGCGGCAUUCCUAGCGUAGCGGUGUCAUGCGUAGAUAUUAGGAGGAACACCAGUGGCGAAGUCGGCUUACUGGACUGUAACUGACGUUGAGGCUCGAAAGCGUGGGGAGCAAACAGGAUUAGAUACCCCUGUAGUC